rnacentral:lncRNA from 1 species
CCGUACAAAGCGAAGGCUCACAGGAAGUGUUCGACUUUUCCCCUAUUUUUAAAACGUGUGAACUUCACCAAAACACCACAACACCCCGCGAGACAGCGCCGGGGAGGCGAGAAACCAACCGGGGGAUUUCAUACCUGGUCCUGGGCGCCGCUGGCCGGCUGCAGAAAGUCGCUCUGACUGCUGUCCACGUCCAAGGCAGCCAUUUCCUGCUGUUUCGCUGGCUGUUCUGGGGCUACGGAGACACAGCGAGAGAAAAAACUCAAAACAAAUUCAUGCUCAAAGAACUCCCACCUCGAAAAGGCGGAGAUUAGCCGCCAAACCGCCUGGAAUUUAAACGAACCAGGCGGACCUUUCUGCUGUCGCGGUGCCCGAGCAACAGUCUUCCCAAAUGUUUACUUUGUUAAAGUGAGGCUAGCUGGCUAACGGUUAGCGUCUCUGCUGAGAAAGAUUAAACACUGAGCUAGCUCGCUUGGCUAAUGGCUCUCCAAACUCACCGGCGGUGCUGUGCUUCGAUCGGGAUAAGUGUUACGUACCAGUCAUAGCGUGAAAAGUGGGAGUUCAACUGUUCAGGACAAUGGCCCUCAAGUAGCAAGUCUGCAUAUCCCGCUUUAAAACAAUAUCAUCUGGCAAACAUGGAUCAGCAAAUUCAUUUAUAAAAGUUGAUCAAAUAGUGUUCCCUUGUCACAAACUGCUUAAAUGAGGCCGACAUGCAACCAUACUAUACAUGUUUUUUUUUUUUUUUUUUUUUUAAUGCAGAUGUGCUCAGUAAAAUAUUGUAUCCUGCAUUGAAAUGAUCAACUUGCCCUCACAUUCCUAAAUGCUGCUUAUAUAAUUUCUCUUUAAUAAACAGACGUUUUUACCUAAAAUACCUUUGAUAACUUUUUACCUUCGAUCACCUGUGACAACAUUUUGGACUGUUUUUUUCUUAAUAAUCUGAAUUUUGCUUUGAAUGCUCUGCUAUUUAAGUAUAGUAAAAACAAUGCAAUAAAGUGAUUCUUUAUUAAACUUUCAAUCGGC